CGCGGCCUAUCAGCUUGUUGGUGGGGUAAUGGCCCACCAAGGCGACGACGGGUAGCCGGCCUGAGAGGGCGACCGGCCACACUGGGACUGAGAUACGGCCCAGACUCCUACGGGAGGCAGCAGUGGGGAAUAUUGCGCAAUGGGCGAAAGCCUGACGCAGCAACGCCGCGUGCGGGAUGAAGGCCUUCGGGUUGUAAACCGCUUUCAGCAGGGACGAAGCGAAAGUGACGGUACCUGCAGAAGAAGCACCGGCCAACUACGUGCCAGCAGCCGCGGUAAUACGUAGGGUGCGAGCGUUGUCCGGAAUUAUUGGGCGUAAAGGGCUCGUAGGCGGUCUGUCACGUCGGGAGUGAAAACUCGGGGCUCAACCCCGAGCCUGCUUCCGAUACGGGCAGACUAGAGGUAUGCAGGGGAGAAUGGAAUUCCUGGUGUAGCGGUGAAAUGCGCAGAUAUCAGGAGGAACACCGGUGGCGAAGGCGGUUCUCUGGGCAUUACCUGACGCUGAGGAGCGAAAGUGUGGGGAGCGAACAGGAUUAGAUACCCUGGUAGUCCACACCGUAAACGUUGGGCGCUAGGUGUGGGACUCAUUCCACGAGUUCCGUGCCGCAGCUAACGCAUUAAGCGCCCCGCCUGGGGAGUACGG
rnacentral:rRNA from 1 species